GACAGAGGGUGCAAACGUUGUUCGGAAUUACUGGGCGUAAAGCGCGUGUAGGCGGCCCUGCAAGUCGGAUGUGAAAUCCCACGGCUCAACCGUGGAAGUGCAUUCGAAACUGCAGGGCUAGAGUCCUGGAGAGGAAGGUGGAAUGCUUGGUGUAGAGGUGAAAUUCGUAGAUAUCAAGCGGAGCACCGGUGGCGAAGGCGGCCUUCUGGACAGUGACUGACGCUGAGACGCGAAAGCGUGGGGAGCAAACAGG
rnacentral:rRNA from 1 species